rnacentral:rRNA from 1 species
AUUGAACGCUGGCGGCAGGCUUACCACAUGCAAGUCGAACGAGUGGCGGACGGGUGAGUAAUGCUUGGGAAUCUAGCUUAUGGAGGGGGAUAACUAAGGAAAACUGUAGCUAAUACCGCGUACCAUAGGAUGAGCACAAGUGGAAUUAGGUAGUUGGUAAGGUAAAGGCUCACCAAGCCGACGAUCUCUAGCUGGUCUGAGAUGAUGACCAGCCACACGGGGACUGAGACACGUCCCAGACUCCUACGGGAGGCAGCAGUUGGGAAUAUUGCGCAAUGGGGGCAACCUGACGCAGCCAUGCCGCGUGAAUGAAGAAGGCCUUCGGGUUGUAAAGUUCUUUCGGUAGCGAGGCGUCAACUACAGAAGAAGCACCGGCUAACUCCGUGACAGCAGCCGCGGUAAUUC